GUACACCAUGCUUCCUGCCAUGCUGACGACGGACUAAACCUCUGUUUGGUGUCACCCAAACAACAGGUGCAGAAUCCGGAGGAUCCACCAGUGCUGUGCCGUGCCACUCUGGAGGAGGGCUGUCUUCGAGUGUCACCUUUGUGGGCACUAAGGAUGUAACUCAGGGGUGGAACGCUUGACUUCACCAUAGGAGGUUGACCUCUGGGUUGCUAAGAAAAAGAAAAAAUAAAAUAAAGCCUCAGGUAAGGGGCUACAUCUCUCUGGCUCCCCUUCGGAGUGCAGAAACAGAAGCCCCACUGGCAGACAGAUAAAUGGUGACUCUCAGCCGCAGAGCUGGGCACACUGCCCGCACGACCAAAUGUGUGAGCUGAAACCACAAGGAAAGAGGCAGAAACGCCGGUGCCUGAGGAAGCAGCAUUGAUCAAAUCAACAGAAGGAGACUCUAAAAUAAGCAUAAUUACUAUCCUUAAAGAGGUUCCGUGCCCGCCUCUGUCACGGGGAGGCUGUAGGAUGAGGGCACACAGCUCAGCUUGUUUCCAUGCUUACUUCCGCCUGGGUAUCCUUUCACAGCUGGCCAGUUUGUAUCACCAGAAAGUGUCAACCUUGACUAACUGCUUCCUCAGCAUCCUUGAAGACCGGAUGAAGGACUCUGGUUUCUGGCCCUGGUUCCCAAGCAGCUGGAAUUCAAGAUCCCUUCACCUUCCUAAAAAAAAUCACUGAAGACCCUCAGAAUAAUUGCAAAGACUACUGUAAAGUCUUGUUUACAGUUGAAGAAAAGGCAUAUAAAUAAAAAGAAUGGCCACUCUC